rnacentral:rRNA from 1 species
UCCAGACUCCUACGGGAGGCAGCAGUGAGGAAUAUUGGUCAAUGGGCGAGAGCCUGAACCAGCCAAGUCGCGUGAGGGAGUACUGCCCUAUGGGUUGUAAACCUCUUUUGUCGGGGAGCAAAAGCCGGACGUGUCCGGCUGUGAGAGUACCCGAAGAAAAAGCAUCGGCUAACUCCGUGCCAGCAGCCGCGGUAAUACGGAGGAUGCGAGCGUUAUCCGGAUUUAUUGGGUUUAAAGGGUGCGCAGGCGGCACGGCAGGCCGGCGGUAAAAUCGCGGGGCUCAACCCCGCCCAGCCGUCGGAACUGCCGGGCUAGAGUGGGCGAGAAGUGCGCGGAAUGCGUGGUGUAGCGGUGAAAUGCUUAGAUAUCGCGCAGAACCCCGAUUGCGAAGGCAGCGUACCGGCUCCACACUGACGCUGAGGCACGAAAGCGUGGGUAUCGAACAGGAUUAGAUACCCGAGUAUG